UGCCAGCCGCCGCGGUAAGACGGAGGGCGCAAGCGUUGUUCGGAAUUACUGGGCGUAAAGCGCGGGCAGGUGGUCUGUUAAGUCGUUUGUGAAAACCCGGGGCUCAACCCCGCGGAAUGCAGACGAUACUGGCAGACUGGAGAUCGGUAGAGGCUAGCGGAAUUCCAGGUGUAGCGGUGGAAUGCGUAGAUAUUCGGAGGAACACCAGUGGCGAAGGCGGCUUUCUGGACCGAUACUGACGCUGAGACGCGAAAGCGUGGGGAGCAAACAGGAUUAGAUA
rnacentral:rRNA from 1 species